ensembl:lncRNA
GGAAGGGAAGGGAAGUGCUGGGGGUGUGGGGAGGCCUCACACCCCCCUUCACCCGCAUGGCCGAUUGCCCGGCCCAGGGCGCAAGCUGGUGUGCAGCUGGGUUGUGUCCACACUGGGCUCGAGGCUGAGGCUGAAAAGGCUCCAAUCCUCAUGCGGCAAUCUAGUCCACGUAGUCAGACCGCAUGGUUUUGGUAAUAAGAAAUCACACUCCCUGACCGCUGUGGGAUGCUGUGCGAUUCUCUAAAUGCUUUUCCUAUACAUUGUCUGAUCCUCAUGCCACGUCUGUGAAUUAGAUAUUAUGACCUUUUUCUCCUUCACAGAGGAAGAAACUUGGCUUAGUAGAGUGCAGAAUGAGGACGUAAACCUUAGACCUCUGACCUCAGAUCCUUUGUUCCUCCCUUGCAGGGGGAGUUCAAUUGUUUUGGAAAUGGAUAAUACUUUACUGCAACAUGAGGAGAUGAAAACUUAUAGGCACAAUGAUAAGAUUAACAAAGGCAAGGCAACGAAAGGGUGGAGGACAUUUUUCUUUUAAGAAUUUUUUAAGAAAUUGCUUUACCUCAGCACAUUGUAACUUUAACUAUUAUUACUUUAUGGAGUUAAUCCAUGCUCGUUGUAGAAAAUUUUUUAAAUACUGAUAAGAAAAAUGAAAGAAAUAAACCAUUAACUAUAAUUCCAGUCACUGUGUGUAUGCACAUACAUAGUAUGUACAUGUACAUCCUUUGAGAGUUGUCCUAUUCCUUCUUGCAUAUAUAUUAUAUAUAAAGACCACAUAUUAAUAUAUAUCAAUUAUAUUAAUUAUAUAAUUAACUUCACUCCAUAACUUUUUUACUUAGAUACAUAGAGAAAUGCUGGAAUAUCUUUCCAUGUCAGUAAAUUAGUCUAUAUUAUUUUUUUAAUGAUUGCCUACUAUGCCAUUGUACUGAUAUUAUUGGACGCUGAUACUGUUUUCAUUUUUUUAUAAUUGCAAAUUAUGCGGUAAUGACACUUCUUAUGCACGUGUCUUUGUGCAGCUGUCUGAUUAUUUCCUUAGGAUAAAUUCCUGGAAGUAGAAUAACUUGAUCAAGCCACACCUUCGAGGUUUUCAAUGUAUUUUGCCAAACAGCGUGCCUUUUUACAGUCCCAACAGCAGUGUUCAGGAGUCAGAAGGCUUAGUCAAGGAACAUGCUAGGAGGAGAAUAUGCCUGGAAAGCCGGCAUGCAAGCCAUGUCCAAGGGGAGCUCAUGUGAAAUUAAGUAACGAUCGGUCUUUGAUUUCUAGGGGUUAGAGAGGUACUAAGGUUUUGAGCAGAGACUGACUGGGCCAGAACUGGCAAAAGCAGCAGGAAGGACAAAUUGUAAGGGAAAGAAAGUAGAACAGCAUAAGUGAAAUGGGAUACUGAAAUGGGCUGCCACCAAGAGAGAGGAAGAAAGAACACAGAGCAUUCUGUGUGACGGGAGCCCAAGAAGAGAAGUUGCAGAGGAGGAGUGAUAACAUGUUGUAAAUGAUGCAGAGAGGCCAAAUAGUAAACAGAUGGAGAAGGGGCCAUUGAAUUUGAUCACACUGGUGAGUUCCUCAUGGAAUGAGAGAGAGGACAUCAUCCAAGUCAUCACGAGUCUGGGAGGAACUGGGUCUGAGCCUCUGCUAAGGGCAAAGAUCGGAGUGGAACAAAACAAAGAGUUCCUCGGGCCCAGAUCAGUGGGAAGAAGGGCAUUCAUAGGCUGGGUCCAACCAGCAAUGCUUCCACCCAACUGGCAGGGCUUGAGCUCUUUAAUCCUGAUCGGGGGAGGCACAGGGGACAGGCUUUUGUGAAUCAUCUAAAUGAAUGCACAGCACACAGAGAAGGCACAAAAUGAAACAAGAUGCACAACUCGUGGUCUGUUUAAGGCAGUGACACGGUGGGAGUCCAAUCACUUUUUUUUUAAGUAAAAAUUCCAACCCAGAAUAAGAAAGACGACAUCUUAUUCUAUAUUAUGGGGAGGUUGCAAAAUUUCCUUCCUCUUACUUUAACAAAAUAAUAAAGGUCUUUGGAUGGACACGAAUGCCAUCCUCCCUCCUAAAACAUAAAAUCUGAGUCACAGAAAAAUUAUUCUCCCAGAGAAGGUUGGCAUUUGGUUAUAAUCUCUAUACCCGGGCUCUCUCCCUCUCUGAAGACAGUCCCCUCGGCUACAUCCCCCCACCCCCGGUUUCAGAGGGCGGGAGCAGUCCUUCAGCCGAAUCUCUCUGUUCUGCUUUGCCUCCUCCAGGACUCAAUUGAGAGCACACACCAAGCAGAACAAAACAGUGGCAAUUGAUGACAAAUGGACUGAGCUGCCCCCACGUCCCCCUCCCCACUCCCUGUUACCAUGGAGACACAAGCCAGCCGAAGCCAAGAGAUCAGGAAAUAUCCAUAAAGGACAGUCUGGUGGACACAGGUGUUCAGGGAAUCAAUCGGAGCCAACAAGAUCCUUCAAUCUGUCAAGGGUUGGAGGGGGAACGUGGUGAGACGGGGAAUUGAGGAUUAAGUAAAACAGGUGGGUUUUGUCCUUGGGACUAGAAGUUUCUUUUCUCUCCGUGGGGAGUUAUGUCAUUUUGACACAUGUUGACACCACACACCAAAGCUCUAUUUUCUUUUCAAUUUUCUUUUCAUCUUCUCUCUUCUACUUCACCUACAAAUGUGGAUCACCUCUAAGACGGGCAGCCGGAUAUCUGCUCAAGAAGCCAUGAAAUGAGGCAGAAUCUUUGGAAGACUUGGUCACUGGAACUUCCUUCAACCACUUUGGAAAGUAGACAAGAGAGUUCAAAUAUCAUCAAAGGAUUCUCCCCACUUUCUCCAGUUGGGAUGAACAGAGAACACAUCCUCUAAACAGAAAGGCAUCUCUUUAAAGGGGUGGAGACACCAAAAGGGAGGGAGAAAAGGAGAAGAGACUUAACUUACAUUGUGGUUUAUUCUUCACUAUUAGUUUUCUGUGUAACAGGAAGCCAAUAGUCAAAUAUUAACUGGAGUUGUACCACAGCUCACUGGGUCUAGUGGACAUGAUUUCCUCCAAACAACUGUCAUCAAACAUAGACAUGGGAGGGGGGAGGAAAGAAACUUCUCAGUUACUCCUACCUUUUUUAAUGCAAAUAAGAGGUUCCUGCUUAGGUGCUUUGAAACUUCUUCAUUUGAAUUGUUCAAAUUCUAGGUACCUACUAUAAUUCUUCUAACGAGCUCCCUCCACACUCACCUCUGAAGGACAGAAUCAGCCCGUUGCUCUAAGCUUUCAAUCAUUGCUUUGUCAUCACAGUAGUCGUAAAGGUCAAGACCAGGAAUUUUAUAGUCGAUUGCCAAAAUCUAGUAGGGUUCAUUGCUUGUAGAAGGCACUCAAAACAUGCUGAUUGAUUGAAUACUGAAAAUGUUUAAAGUCUUACUGUAGUAGAAAUUACAGCUGAAUCCCCAAUAAUUCUUCUUUCCUCCACUGUGCAGUAGCCAUGGGAUUUAAAUGGAGAUUGACCCCACCAGCUGCAAGGUUGGACCAAUCAGAGAUUAGAUUCCAGUCCUCCUGCCACAAUGAUUGGUUCAGGUAAAUGAAGUCUAUGCCAAUCAACAAAUGGCCUUUUCCCAUCUGAGUCUUGAGGGAAAGUUUGCUAGGAUUUCUGAGAGAGUAAGUUCUCAACUUUGUCCGAAAGAGCCACCAAAGCCAACCUCACUCCUGGACAGUGUGGCUUGACGAUAACUACCCUAGAGCCUCGGACACUUUGCCAUCCUAAAGGAAACUGGCCUGAAUGCAAAUAGGGAAAAAAGUUAAAAUAAAACCAGGACCUUGAUGACUUAAUGGAUCUGUUGGUUCAAACCAACCUUGAAUUCUGUUCUUCCUUGUUCUUUCAAUAGAGUAAGCCAAUAAAUCCCCUCUGUUGUUGAAGCCAGUUUGAGUUGGGCUGUCUAUUUAUUGACUUAUUUGUUUAGUUUUCAAAAUAGUUUUAAUAAGUUAUUUAAAAUUUUUCUUAAAGAAUAAAUAGUCCUAAGCAAUAUACUUACCAAAACUGUCACCUGUUUGACAAUUUUGCUCUUAGUGACCAACAAAAGUAAGUUUUGGACAUCUGGAGACUGAGAUAGCAAAUGACAUCUUCUCUUUGGAGAGGUGCAAGCUGGGAAAUCCACCAAGCCGUCUCACCAGGCUGAUACUGUCCAAAGUAUGAAAGCUCAAUCAACUCGAGAAUUCUUAUUAAAGGGCAGGGACAGGUCAGAGAAGAUGGUGAACACGUCGCAGUGCACUGGAGGUACUCUGAAAGCAGAUCCGUCUUUAUUUGUAGGCAAAGCUAAUAUUAAAGGUAAUUUGCAUUCUCUGAGCAUAAAAUGUGGACACUGUGAAGAACAGAUGUUGAGAGGGCUCGAGCAUUCCAGAAACUGAUAAGAAAUUUAAAUUUGCAAUGAAUAAUAUAAAAUGUAGAUAAUCCCAAUGUCAGUUCUGAGAAGGACUUUUAGGCAUUCUAUUGGAAUUAAACUGUUUGUCAUUUAGCUGAAAAGAACGUGUUAACCAAUCAUUGGUCUGCAAGAAGACCCCUCAGCACCUCUGACCAGUUACACAAGGGAAGGGACUGAGGAGUUAAUGCCAAAUAUUCUAUGUGGAGAUUUAGUGAUUUACUGGCUGUAUUCUGCUAAUCCAGGGAUGAAGCUGAUCUUUGUUCUUUGACUCUUUAGAAGUGCAGAGUUAAAAAAUAGGAGAUGCUCAAGAAGUAACGGAUAGUGGGAUGGAUGGAUGGCUGAAUGGAUGGACAGAUGACAGGUGGAGCUUCUACUGGAAAGAACACUAAUCCACACCAUCCCCUCUAGCCUGAAACAUCCUUUCCAAAGGCAAGAACUGGUCUCUAAUUCUGUGACUGCUAGUCCAAAACAUAUUCUCCAAUAGCAUUUAUCACUUCCCAGGGCCCUGUAAUCUUUAUGAUUUCAGAAACCUGAGCAAAGCCAUGAAGGAAGACUAUCUCUUGUAUCUUAGCCUUACAUGUCCCAGCAUCUAACGAACACAAUACCUCUUCCUCCUUUUUUCUCCUCAAAUGAGGACUUGUAUGUGCCUUAGAUUCACUGAAUUCCAAGCAAACUGUCAUCUUGCUGAUUCCUCUAACUCUGUUAAUAGAACCAUCAUUUUUCUUUGCCAGCACUCCAAAUCAGGAAAUUGUGAUUGUUCCUCACUUUUCGUUUGGCUCCCACAUCCACCUAGCAAGCCCUUAAGAGUCCAUCUCCUCAUUGUUUUUCAUCCUGCUUCCUCUUUUCCAUUGCUACUGCCACCGCCGACUUCAUGUCGCUAACUUCUCACUUGACCAGUGUCAAUUGCUUGUAAGUUGGUCUCCUGAUUUCCAUUUCUCCCCAUGCUUUGACAUCUCUCCCCUCCUGAG